GAAAUGCGAUAAGUAAUGUGAAUUGCAGAAUUCAGUGAAUCAUCGAAUCUUUGAACGCACCUUGCGCUCCUUGGUAUUCCUUGGAGCAUGCCUGUUUGAGUAUCAUGAAAUCUUCAAAGUAAAUCUUUUGUUAACUCAAUUGGUUUCUACUUUGGUAUUGGAGGUCUUUGCAGCUUCACACCUGCUCCUCUUUGUUCAUUAGCUGGAUCUCAGUGUUAUGCUUGGUUCCACUCGGCGUGAUAAGUUAUCUAUCGCUGAGGACACUGUAAAAGGUGGCCAAGGUAAAUGCAGAUGAACCGCUUCUAAUAGUCCAUUGACUUGGACAAUACUUUUGUGAUCUGAUCUCGAAUCAGGUAGGACUACCCGCUGAACUUAAGC
rnacentral:misc_RNA from 1 species